rnacentral:rRNA from 1 species
UACGAAGGGGGCAAGCGUUGUCCGGAAUUACUGGGCGUAAAGCGCACGCAGGCGGCUCGAUAAGUUAGAAGUGAAAGCCCCGGGCUUAACCUGGGAAUUGCUUUUAAGACUGUCGGGCUAGAAUCCAGAAGAGGGUAGUGGAAUUCCGAGUGUAGCGGUGAAAUUCGUAGAUAUUCGGAAGAACACCAGUGGCGAAGGCGACUACCUGGUCUGGCAUUGACGCUCAUGUGCGAAAGCGUGGGGAGCAAACAGG